AGGUUUAGGCAGGUAUGCUACUUAAAUUAUACUGAUUUCUGACUUUCUAGAUAAUUAUAAGUGAAGGAUUGGAGUCCAUUGUAGGUCAUUAAAACAUUCAUGCUCUUUGUAGAUCAAAUCUAACAUUUCUAUCACUUUAUCAGUUGUAUCUAAUAUUCCUCGCACCUAAAUUCUAUGUUCAAAAUGUUCAAAGUUCUAAAGAUUGAAAGAAAGUAUCUUUUAAGACAUUUACUUAAAACACUUCUCUACAUUUAUCAUCCUAUGUUACAUAUACAGUUCUAAUGAGACAUUGUUUGCUUCAAUUCAAUUAUCUUUUCCUGCCAAAUUUUAACCAGUGCUAUUAACUUAUUCAUACCAUCUAGCCAUGUGUAACAGAAAAAGGAAAUGAAUGCCUGUUAACUGCAUUCUCUGCCAGGUGCUGAAUGGUAACACUGUUGA
rnacentral:lncRNA from 1 species